GGUGAGUAACACGUGGAUAACCUACCUAUAAGACUGGGAUAACUUCGGGAAACCGGAGCUAAUACCGGAUAAUAUUUUGAACCGCAUGGUUCAAAAGUGAAAGACGGUCUUGCUGUCACUUAUAGAUGGAUCCGCGCUGCAUUAGCUAGUUGGUAAGGUAACGGCUUACCAAGGCGACGAUGCAUAGCCGACCUGAGAGGGUGAUCGGCCACACUGGAACUGAGACACGGUCCAG
rnacentral:rRNA from 1 species